CUACGGGUCGCUGCAGUGGGGAAUAUUGCACAAUGGAGGAAACUCUGAUGCAGCAACGCCGCGUGGAGGAUGACACUUUUCGGAGCGUAAACUCCUUUUAUAUAGGAAGAAGAUGACGGUACUAUAUGAAUAAGCGCCGGCUAACUCCGUGCCAGCAGCCGCGGUAAUACGGAGGGCGCAAGCGUUACUCGGAAUCACUGGGCGUAAAGAGCGUGUAGGCGGAUUAAAAAGUCAGAAGUGAAAUCCUAUAGCUUAACUAUAGAACUGCUUCUGAAACUCUUAAUCUAGAAUAUGGGAGAGGUAGAUGGAAUUUCUGGUGUAGGGGUAAAAUCCGUAGAGAUCAGGAGGAAUACCGAUUGCGAAGGCGGUCUACUAGAACAUUAUUGACGCUGAGACGCGAAAGCGUGGGGAGCAAACAGGAUUAGAUACCCCUGUAGUC
rnacentral:rRNA from 1 species